CUCUGUUGUUAGGGAAGAACAAGUACAAGAGUAACUGCUUGUACCUUGACGGUACCUAACCAGAAAGCCACGGCUAACUACGUGCCAGCAGCCGCGGUAAUACGUAGGUGGCAAGCGUUAUCCGGAAUUAUUGGGCGUAAAGCGCGCGCAGGCGGUUUCUUAAGUCUGAUGUGAAAGCCCACGGCUCAACCGUGGAGGGUCAUUGGAAACUGGGGAACUUGAGUGCAGAAGAGAAAAGCGGAAUUCCACGUGUAGCGGUGAAAUG
rnacentral:rRNA from 1 species